rnacentral:rRNA from 1 species
UGCGUAGGUGGUCGUUUAAGUCUGUUGUGAAAGCCCUGGGCUCAACCUGGGAACUGCAGUGGAAACUGGACGACUAGAGUGUGGUAGAGGGUAGCGGAAUUCCUGGUAUAGCAGUGAAAUGCGUAGAGAUCAGGAGGAACAUCCAUGGCGAAGGCAGCUACCUGGACCAACACUGACACUGAGGCACGAAAGCGUGGGGAGCAAACA